rnacentral:misc_RNA from 1 species
GAUGAAGAACGUAGCGAAAUGCGAUAAGUAGUGUGAAUUGCAGAAUUCAGUGAAUCAUCGAAUCUUUGAACGCACAUUGCGCCCCUCGGUAUUCCGUGGGGCAUGCCUGUUCGAGCGUCAUUUAACCCCUCAAGCCUAGCUUGGUAUUGGGUACUUGUCCCGCCUCUCGCGCGGCGACUCACCUCAAAGUCAUUGGCAGCCCGCAUCUCGCCGGCCGUGAGCGCAGCACAGACGCGCUCUUGGCAACGACGGAUCGGCUCUCCAAAAGCUUAUUUCAACCACUGACCUCGGAUCAGGUAGGGAUACCCGCUGAACUUAAGCAUAUCAAUAAGCGGAGGA